rnacentral:lncRNA from 1 species
GGACGUUCCUGAGUACACUGGAGCACUUCCUGAGCCGCUACCUGAAGGACGUGCGGCAGCACCACGUGAAGGCCGACAAGCGGGACCCUGAGUUUGUCUUCUAUGACCAGCUGAAGCAAGUGAUGAACGCUUACAGGUGAGUGGUGGGCCAGAGUCCAGGGCACCACCAUCUGUGGGGAUGACCAUUCUCCCGUCCUUGACCCCAUGGACUGUCCCUCAGGGUCAAGCCAGCCAUCUUUGACCUGCUGCUGGCCUUGUGCAUUGGGGCGUACCUGGGCAUGGCAUACACAGCCGUCCAGGUAGGUGAACGACUGUGCAAGCGUCUGGGGUGGGUGGGGGCUGGCUCUCCAGUGUCCCUCAUGCAUUGUUCUUCCCACCAGCACUUCCAUGUGCUGUACAAGACGGUGCAGAGACUGCUGCUCAAGGCCAAGGCACAGUGACAGUGGCCAUGCACAGGUGGCCCAGGAGGUCCUAGCCCACGCACCCACAGCAGCCAGACUGAACCACAGAGGGUUUGGAUGGGUCACUAGGAUGCAGGGACACCUCUCCCUGUCCAUUUCUUUGUCCCUGGAGGAGAGCCCCGCCCGCCUGCAGACGAGCCCACUGGGAUGGAAUGAUGACCCGGGCCACAUGCACUGAAGGGCCGCACACUGCUGUUGGCCUCCCCAGUGGCUGGGUCCCAGAAGCCUGUCUCUGCAGUUCCCCAGAGGCAGCCACCGUCAGCCUGCCUCGCCCCAGCACUGGCCAGCACCCGACAAUGUCUCCCUGAUGCUCCUCCUCAUACCCCUGUCCCGCCUGUUGUCACCUCUGCCACCAUUGAACCCACCUGGUCCCCCAGCUGGAUCUGAGCCACCUGAGGUUCUGGCCCCUCCUGCAAGCGUCCCUUCGCUCAGUCCCAGUGCUGGUGACUGAGCAGGAGUUGGCCCUGGUCUGGAGUGUGUGCAGUUCUGAGGUCUCCCCACCUUCUACACUGCCCCCCCAGCCUCAGUUUCCCUACCUGAGAUACAUUCUGGGAAGUCCAGUCCUCUGUCAUAGUGUCUGAUGGGACAACCAGGCCUAGCACAGCCCUGGAUGUCCCCAACAGGAUGGCCUUGGGAGGGGGACACCGGUGCUGAUGGUUGACCUCAGGGACCCCACAGUGAAUUGAUUCAAUUGAUUCAAUAGCAAUAUGACCCAGGAGGUGUCAGGCGGGGCAGCGGAGGCCAUCUGAAGACCAGCUGCUUGCAUCCCUCUAGCACCUGCUGAGGCCUGGCUCCCCCCACCCACCGUAGGCUGCCUCGGUUCAGCAGUGGUGGCUGCCACCCUGGUGGCACUCGUGUCAUAGGACGAGGGGGGUCAGCCUCCUGCCCUGGCCCUGGGCACUCUCGUUCCCCUCACUACUCUUAACCUGGCAGCUGGUUACGGGUCUGAGGCCAGUGCCACCUGCCACUGAAGAAGUACACAGGGCAUGUGCCACCUCCCUCUGUCCCGAUGGGUCAUGGGGAUGGAUUGGCCCCUUGGGGUGGCCGUGGGUCUGCAGUUGGUGGGUUACAAAAUAAAAGCCAUAUUGAAGGACCGA